rnacentral:rRNA from 1 species
UACAGAGGUCUCAAGCGUUGUUCGGAUUCAUUGGGCGUAAAGGGUGCGUAGGUGGCGCGCUAAGUCAGGUGUGAAAUUUCGGAGCUUAACUCCGAAACUGCAUUUGAUACUGGCGUGCUUGAGGACUGGAGAGGAGACUGGAAUUCACGGUGUAGCGGUGAAAUGCGCAGAUAUCAGGAGGAACACCGGUGGCGAAGGCGGUUCUCUGGGCCUUACCUGACGCUGAGGAGCGAAAGCGUGGGGAGCGAACAGG